AACGAACGCUGGCGGCAUGCCUAACACAUGCAAGUCGAACGAUGCCUUCGGGCAUAGUGGCGCACGGGUGCGUAACGCGUGGGAAUCUGCCUUUCGGUUCGGAAUAACUCAGGGAAACUUGAGCUAAUACCGGAUAACGUCGCAAGACCAAAGAUUUAUCACCGAAAGAUGAGCCCGCGUAGGAUUAGCUAGUUGGUGAGGUAAAGGCUCACCAAGGCGACGAUCCUUAGCUGGUCUGAGAGGAUGAUCAGCCACACUGGGACUGAGACACGGCCCAGACUCCUACGGGAGGCAGCAGUGGGGAAUAUUGGACCAUGGGCGAAAGCCUGAUCCAGCAAUGCCGCGGGAGUGAUGAAGGCCUUAGGGUUGUAAAGCUCUUUUACCCGGGAAGAUAAUGACGGUACCGGGAGAAUAAGCCCCGGCUAACUCCGUG
rnacentral:rRNA from 1 species